CAACGAAAAUGCAUGCAGCUCAAAUCAGCAUAAUAAUAACAUAAGUAGUGAAGCCGUUAUAAUUAAUGAACUGAAUCAUUAUGAUGAACAAGACAGAACGGAUGAAAUGUCAACAAGGCAAAGAGAAAUGGAAGAAUUUAGAGAAGUGCUUGAAGAUGGGCUUGAUGAAAUUUUAUUGCAAGCACUACUUGAAUUUGAAAAUCAGGAGAUAAAGAAAAAAGAAUUGAA